GAUGAACGCUAGCGGCAGGCCUAAUACAUGCAGGCCGGACGGCAACCCUGCCAGCAAUGGCAGGGCUAGAGUGGCGCAAGGGUGCGUAACACGUAUGCAACCUGCCCACAGCUUGGGGAUAGCCCCCCGAAAGGGGGAUUAACACCCGAUGGUAACUCAGGGCGGCAUCGCGUUGAGUUUAAGCCACGGGGCUGUGGAUGGGCAUGCGUCCGAUUAGCUAGUUGGCGGGGUAACGGCCCACCAAGGCGAUGAUCGGUAGGGGUUCUGAGAGGAAGGUCCCCCACACUGGCACUGAGACACGGGCCAGACUCCUACGGGAGGCAGCAGUAGGGAAUAUUGGACAAUGGGCGCAAGCCUGAUCCAGCCAUGCCGCGUGCAGGAAGAAGGCCUUCUGGGUACGUAAACUGUCUUUUGGCCGGGGGAUAAAAAGGUCCUGCGGGGCAAAUUGAAGGUACCCGGUGAAUAAGCCACGGCUAACUACGUG
rnacentral:rRNA from 1 species